GACGAACGCUGGCGGCGUGCCUAAUACAUGCAAGUAGAACGCUGAAGGAGGAGCUUGCUUCUCUGGAUGAGUUGCGAACGGGUGAGUAACGCGUAGGUAACCUGCCUGGUAGCGGGGGAUAACUAUUGGAAACGAUAGCUAAUACCGCGUAAUAGUAGAUGUUGCAUGACAUUUGCUUAAAAGGUGCAAUUGCAUCACUACCAGAUGGACCUGCGUUGUAUUAGCUAGUUGGUGGGGUAACGGCUCACCAAGGCGACGAUACAUAGCCGACCUGAGAGGGUGAUCGGCCACACUGGGACUGAGACACGGCCCAGACUCCUACGGGAGGCAGCAGUAGGGAACCUUCGGCAAUGGACGGAAGUCUGACCGAGCAACGCCGCGUGAGUGAAGAAGGUUGUCGGAUCGUAAAGCUCUGUUGUAAGAGAAGAACGAGUGUGAGAGUGGAAAGUUCACACUGUGACGGUAUCUUACCAGAAAGGGACGGCUAACUACGUG
rnacentral:rRNA from 1 species